rnacentral:rRNA from 1 species
GACGAACGCUGGCGGCGUGCUUAACACAUGCAAGUCGAACGGAAAGGCCCUGCUUUUGUGGGGUGCUCGAGUGGCGAACGGGUGAGUAACACGUGAGUAACCUGCCCUUGACUUUGGGAUAACUUCAGGAAACUGGGGCUAAUACCGGAUAGGAGCUCCUGCUGCAGGGUGGGGGUUGGAAAGUUUCGGCGGUUGGGGAUGGACUCGCGGCUUAUCAGCUUGUUGGUGGGGUAGUGGCUUACCAAGGCUUUGGCGGGUAGCCGGCCUGAGAGGGUGACCGGCCACAUUGGGCCUGAGAUACGGCCCAGACUCCUACGGGAGGCAGCAGUGGGGAAUAUUGCACAAUGGGCGGAAGCCUGAUGCAGCGGCGCCGCGUGCGUGAUGACGGCCUUCGGGUUGUAAACCGCUUUCGCCUGUGACGAAGCGUGAGUGACGGUAAUGGGUAAAGAAGCACCGGCUAACUACGUG